AUUACCGUAUUGAUUAUUUUUACUUCCUCAUUUUUAGUUUCACUGCUGUGGCCUACAUAACUACAGCGACUACACCUCUACGAAUUUGCCUUUGCCGGCUAGUUGCUUUUAUACGGAAAACGACGCCUGGAUUUAUUAUACUGAUGGCUGUUUGGAGAAAGUAAAAUUUGCUGCUGGUAGAGCAAGUGAUGCAUUGUCCAUUGCUGGCUUUCUGCUUACUGCGACACAGGUGAUGGCCUUAAUAUUUUCAUCCGCUCUCUCUUUAGCGUAUUAUCGAACUGGAGAGUACCAAGAGUUGUAGUAAAAAGCGAAAUUUUAGGUAGACAUAGAAUAUUAUCUUUACAUCACCUAAAAACUUGCAGAUUUAAGCACUUCUAAAUCUUGAUAUUUUUCUAUCAAAAAUAAUUUAUUAAAAAUUAGCGUAUACAAAUUAAUAAUGUUAAA